GUGGAUACUCAAAUAUAGAAAAAAUAUCAACUGAUCGCUCUGAUCUCAUCUAGAAAUAAAUAAGACAGGCUUGUUGUCACCAUCUCUCAUCAUGGCGUUGCUUGUCUCGCAAUCCAUGCGACCAUGCCUCCAAUCCAUCAAAUAGAGAGGCUUGAUCAUGCAGCCUCAUGCAAAUCCAGUGUCCAAUUUUACAUCUAAAGCAAUAUCAACCUUGCCCUAAUGCAAAAUUUGAAUAGCCGUCAGCCUUAAUCUGCAAGUUAAUGGAAGACACUCUUACCAGCACGUUUCUUUGCCAUCCAUCCACCUCGUUUCUUUGCCAUGCAUCCACCUCCCAGCCGGUUCAUCUUAAUUUGCAGGGAUGAAUCAGAUGCCGGUGGUGGUCAUCCGUGUGGUAGCCAAAAUUGUAGUGGAGGACGAUGACGUGUGGUUGCCAAAAUUUCAGGUCGAAGAUGAUGCAUCACGGACAGGAUACCUGGUGGUGCAGUGAUUGGCGAUGCAACCUGGACGGGAUCCCUGCUGGUGGCACAGCGAUCAACAAUGCAAUGUGUGGACUCGAUCCCUGGUGGCGCAUGCUCCAGUUCCUCCAGGAAAAAGAGAUGCGAUGCAAAAGGCUGGGUCGGUAAUUAUAUAUAGCGAACGAGAAAUUAGAAUUGUUGGUUCUUAAUGGGUUUUACUGAUACACCCCCGGUAUCCAUUUGAAAGAGUAUUGGCAUG
rnacentral:lncRNA from 1 species